rnacentral:rRNA from 1 species
ACGAACGCUGGCGGCGUGCUUCACACAUGCCAGUCGAACGGAAAGGCCCUGCUUUUGUGGGGUGCUCGAGUGGCGAACGGGUGAGUAACGCGUGAGUAACCUGCCCUUGACUUUGGGAUAACUUCAGGAAACUGGGGCUAAUACCGGAUAGGAGCUCCUGCUGCAUGGUGGGGGUUGGAAAGUUUCGGCGGUUGGGGAUGGACUCGCGGCUUAUCAGCUUGUUGGUGGGGUAGUGGCUUACCAAGGCUUUGACGGGUAGCCGGCCUGAGAGGGUGACCGGCCACAUUGGGACUGAGAUACGGCCCAGACUCCUACGGGAGGCAGCAGUGGGGAAUAUUGCACAAUGGGCGGAAGCCUGAUGCAGCAACGCCGCGUGCGGGAUGACGGCCUUCGGGUUGUAAACCGCUUUCGCCUGUGACGAAGCGUGAGUGACGGUAAUGGGUAAAGAAGCACCGGCUAACUACGUG